rnacentral:Y_RNA from 1 species
GGCUGGUCCGAGUGCAGUGGUGUUUACAACUAAUUGAUCACAACCAGUUACAGAUUUCUUUGUUCCUUCUCCACUCCCACUGCUUCACUUGACUAGUCUUUA